rnacentral:lncRNA from 1 species
GUAAUACCCGGCUAGACUCCGGUAUCGGAAUUCCUACCGUCCGGUGGAAUUUGGGUGUCGGAAACCUCUAGAAGGGUAAAAGCAUGUUUUUAUAAAAUGUUUUCAUGUAUUUUAAUGUUUUAAGUAUGAUUUUAAAUAAGUUUUUUUGCAUGAAAAUUCUUUAAGGAAAAACCCAGGUUCGGCCGCCGAAACUCACUUUCGGCCGCCGAACAUGCAUGGACUUUGGGAGGCACGUUAGGCCCCCGAAAGUCUAAGUGAGGGAAGUGCAGGUUCGGCCGCCGAACCUUAUGUUCGGCCGCCGAACAUUGCAUGGAUG